GAGCGUUAGCACCCAAAACGCUCUGAAGCUUCUAAGAAUUCCCUAAACGAUUUAGGGCAAGAAUCAAAAGUGAACUUGGUGAAACUUUAAGUAAAGGGGCUCGUGAUCAUCACUGUACCAUCUAUAUUCUUGUGGUACUGAUUUUGGAAAUUCAUUUGGAAGUAAAUAUAAUCACUAUAGAAAUGAAGAACUCAGAACUCAGGAAGCGUAGGUGAUCCUUCAAAAAGAUAUGUAAGGCGACUUUCUUUCAUUGGCAUGUCUUGAUAUAAGCGUUCCCUUAUGAACAAUCCUUCUGUUGUAAGACUGAGUUGUUCUAAGCCUUUCGUGAUAAAUGAUAUUCAUGUUCUUAUUCAUUCUUUGUUAGUGACAUUUUCUUUCAAAUUUGAGAUGUUCCCGGAUGGUGUCAUGAGGUCAUGAAAUGUAAUUCACUCUAGGUCUAACCUUGACAUCUCCGGAAAUUGGUCUUGUAAUGCACUUAUAUAUAUGCAUUUGCUCUAUUAUACUGAGUCGUGCUAUAAUCGACCGGGUAUGACACUUAUUGUGCAACCACUUAUCAAUUAGGUAUGAUGUGACAAGAUGUGAAAUAUUAUCGAGUCCUCUACGAGGCCGGGUACGGAACAAUGUGAUAUGAAAUAUUACCGAGUUCUUUUGAGGCUAGGCACAACCGAGACCUCCUGAGGCCAGAUAUGAUGUGAUAAAAGCAUGAGAUUUUACUGAGUCCUCUAUGAGGCCGGGUACGACAUGAGAUGAUAUGCCCCAAAGAGUGGGUGAAUGAUAUUAUAUUAUAUGUAAUGCAUAGCCCCAAUUAGUGGCUUAAAUUUUACAAAACUUGCAUAUAUUCAUGAUUCAUGGUUAAUGCACUGCACACCCCAGUGACUUGUCUUCGGCAUUCAGGUUAAACUUGUGUGUUUAUAUCUCCUGUUAUACCUUUGGUUUACAUACAUUGUCCCUCAUAAAUACUCACUACAUCUUUUGUACUGACGCCCCUUUCUUCUGGGCGAUGUGUUCAUGCCCACAAGUAAAUAUAGACCCGGUGACGUUCCUUCCCAGUAGAGUGCAUGUUUCAGUGGUUGGUUGUCAUACUCCACUUCUCCGGAGUAGCUGUACAAAAGUCGAUAGGUAUUGGAGUAUGUGUCUCUGUCAUUUUGGGUAUGGUGAGACCCUAUUCCGACCAAGUUGUAUAUUAUGGUACUCUUAGAGGCUUGCAAGCUAGUGUCCAGUGUGUACGUAAAUAUAGCUACGACUCUAUUGGCAAUGGUUGUGUAUAAUACAAAAUGUUGAAAGCUUCUUCCA
rnacentral:lncRNA from 1 species